AUUGAACGCUGGCGGCAGGCUUAACACAUGCAAGUCGAACGCCCCGCAAGGGGAGUGGCAGACGGGUGAGUAACGCGUGGGAAUCUACCCAGUUCUGCGGAACAACAGUUGGAAACGACUGCUAAUACCGCAUACGCCCUACGGGGGAAAGAUUUAUCGGAGCUGGAUGAGCCCGCGUUGGAUUAGCUAGUUGGUGGGGUAAUGGCCUACCACGGCGACGAUCCAUAGCUGGUCGGAGAGGAUGAUCAGCCACACUGGGACUGAGACACGGCCCAGACGCCUGCGGGAGGCAGCAGUGGGGAAUAUUGGACAAUGGGCGCAAGCCUGAUCCAGCCAUGCCGCGUGAGUGAUGAAGGCCUUAGGGUUGUAAAGUUCUUUCAGUAGGGAAGAUAAUGACGGUACCUACAGAAGAAGCCCCGGCUAACUUCGUGCCAGCAGCCGCCGUAACAC
rnacentral:rRNA from 1 species